rnacentral:ncRNA from 2 species
GAGACAGGUUAGUUUUACCCUA